GACGAACGCUGGCGGCGUGCUUAACACAUGCAAGUCGAACGGAAAGGCCCUGCUUUUGUGGGGUGCUCGAGUGGCGAACGGGUGAGUAACACGUGAGUAACCUGCCCUUGACUUUGGGAUAACUUCAGGAAACUGGGGCUAAUACCGGAUAGGAGCUCCUGCUGCAUGGUGGGGGUUGGAAAGUUUCGGCGGUUGGGGAUGGACUCUCGGCUUAUCAGCUUGUUGGUGGGGUAGUGGCUUACCAAGGCUUUGACGGGUAGCCGGCCUGAGAGGGUGACCGGCCAGAUUGGGACUGAGAUACGGCCAAGAAUCCGACGGGAGGCAGGAGUGAGGAAUAGUGCACAAUGGGAGGAAGCCUGAUGCAGCAACGCCGCGUGCGGGAUGACGGCCUUCGGGUUGUAAGCCGCUUUCGCCUGUGACGAAGAGUGAGUGACGGUAAUGGGUAAAGAAGCACCGGCUAACUACGUG
rnacentral:rRNA from 1 species